GAUUAACGCUGGCGGCGUGCCUAACACAUGCAAGUCGAACGAGGUAGCAAUACCUAGUGGCAGACGGGUGAGUAACACGUGGGCAACCUACCGUAGAGUGGGGGAUAACUAGCCGAAAGGUUAGCUAAUACCGCAUGAAACGUGCUGUGGCAUCACAGAACGUUAAAAGGAGCAAUCCGCUUUAUGACGGGCCCGCGCCCGAUUAGCUAGUUGGUGGGGUAACGGCCUACCAAGGCUCCGAUCGGUAGCUGGUUUGAGAGAGCGACCAGCCACACUG
rnacentral:rRNA from 1 species